rnacentral:lncRNA from 1 species
UUUGCUUAAACAGAUAUCUCUAUCCAAGAAGAAAUAAGCCAAAGGGGUAUUUUCCAGAAAGGACAGGGAAAAAUGGGGCUCAUGGACUCAUUCAUACAUGAAUAAGCACAAAAGUCCUUGGAACUAUACACCACAAAAAUAAAAUUCCAACUGGACAACAAAAAGAGAGAUUCUAGAGCCAUAAUCAAAGCUAGCUAGACUCAAUGGAUUUCCCUUUGAGGAGUGACUGGUAGAUAUUUCAGGAUUUCAUUAACUGUAUUGAACACCUAACAGAGAUGGUAGUCUAUUUCUUGUUUGUGGUAAAUGGUUUCAUGGGAACCAAAAGCAAUAUACACUCAUCAAAAUGCGUUGGAUUGCUUCAUAUUCCAAGCCUUGUUUAAAAAAAAAAAAAAGAAAAGAACAACAUUAUUAACCAAGGUUGACUUAACCACAACUCCCGUUGGCUUCUGUGGGAGUUUUGCCAUGGCUGAAGACCACAAAUAAGACCCAUGCUCCUGGUAAUAAAAAGGCUGCCCAGAUACUGUGGAAAAGUUGCUGAACCUCAGAGUGAAAGAAAACACUUUCCUGUCACUGGAGACGGCUCCAUGUUGACUUCCAUUAAAACGUAACCUGAGCCCAGGAUGCAGAUGAUUAGAAUGUUCUUGGAAUAAUGGACAAAGCUUAUUUUACCCAAAGAGCAAUCAUGCUCUCCAGACAGGGGUGUGUGUAGAGGGAACAGGGGUGCUGGCUCC